rnacentral:rRNA from 1 species
GGGAGGUAGUGACAAUAAAUAACAAUACGGGGUCCUUUAGGGUCUCGUAAUUGGAAUGAGUACAAUUUAAAUCUCUUAACGAGGAACAAUUGGAGGGCAAGUCUGGUGCCAGCAGCCGCGGUAAUUCCAGCUCCAAUAGCGUAUAUUAAAGUUGUUGCAGUUAAAAAGCUCGUAGUUGAAUUUCGAGAUCAGUACGCUGGUCGUGCCUUCGGUAUGCACUGGUAUCACUGGUUUCUCCCUUCUGAAGAACCGUCAUGUCAUUAAUUUGGUGUUGCGAGGAAUCUGGACUGUUACUUUGAAAAAAUUAGAGUGUUUAAAGCAGGCUAACGCUUGAAUACAUUAGCAUGGAAUAAUGAAAUAGGACGUUCGAUCUUAUUUUGUUGGUUUCUAAGAUUGACGUAAUGAUUAAUAGGGAUAGUUGGG